ensembl:lncRNA
AUCGCAUUCGAUUUCGAACGCGAUAUCUUCUAGUUUGACAGUGAAUUACAGCUCUGUGUAGUGAAAGCCUCUCAGUCUGAAAGCAGGUGAUGCUGAUUUACUACUAAUCACGGACCGGCUUUACUGACCAGAUGCACACGACAAUCGAAUGCGAUUAAUUGCACAGCCCUAGUACAGGUUUAUGUAAAAAUAACACGUUAACUAAUGUAGCUGGAGGCUCUGGACAUGUCCUGCCACAGUGGAAACAAAGAUUUUUCUAUUUUGGUUGGACUGGGAAACGUCCUGACGAAUGUAAAGCAGGGUUAUGUCUGAAUAAAAUAAAGGGAACAUUUUUAAAAUCAUCAUUCUGAAGUCAAUCUUAACGAG